rnacentral:rRNA from 1 species
GAUGAACGCUGGCGGCGUGGAUAAGGCAUGCAAGUCGAACGUUCCUUGUACUUCGGUAGAAGGAAAGUGGCAAACGGGGUAGUAACAAGUAGGAACAUACCCAUGAGUCAGGGAUAACUGCGGGAAACCGUAGCUAAUACUUGAUGGUCCCUUCGGGGUAAAGAUUUAUCGCUCAUGGAAUGGCCUACUCCAUAUCAGCUUGUUGGUGAGGUAAUGGCUCACCAAGGCUAUGACGUGUAGGGGAGGUGAGAGCCUGACCCCCACCAUUGGAACUGCGACACGGUCCAAACUCCUACGGGAGGCUGCAGUCGAGAAUCUUCCGCAAUGCACGAAAGUGUGACGGAGCGACGCCGCGUGGUGGAUGAAGUCCUUCGGGAUGUAAACACCUUUUAUACGCGAAGAAGUAUAUUGACAUUAACGUAUGAAUAAGGGGCUCCUAAUCUCGUGCCAGCAGGAGCGGUAAUACGAGAGCCCCAAGCGUUAUCCGGAAUUAUUGGGCGUAAAGGGUCCGUAGGUGGUCAUCUUAGUCAGUGGUUAAAGCCCCAAGCUCAACUUGGGAACGGCCAUUGAAACGGGAUGACUUGAGUAUGCGAGAGGUGUGUAGAACUCAUGGUGUAGGGGUGAAAUCCGUUGAUAUCAUGGGGAAUACCAAAAGCGAAGGCAGCACACUGGCGCACUACUGACACUGAGUGGACGAAACCUAAGGUAGCGAAUGGGAUUAGAUACCCCAGUAGUCUUAGGCCUAAACGAUCUUGAUUAGUUUUUGGGAGUAUCGACCCUCUCAGAGACCAAGCUAACGCGAUAAAUCAAGCGCCUGGGAAGUACGAGCGCAAGCUUAAAACUCAAAGGAAUAGACGGGGACUUGCACAAGCGGUGGAUCAUGUGGUUUAAUUCGACGAUAAACGAAGAACCUUACCAAGAUUAGAAACCCAGUUCAUGCUCUUGUAGAAAUAUGAGAGAUACCGGGCUGGGCAGGUGUUGCAUGGCCGUCGUCAGUUCGUGGUUUGAAUUGUUCCCUUAAGUGGGGUAACGAACGAAACCCUCAUCGUGUGUUUUAUGUGUCACACGAGACUGCCCUUUUUACGGGGAGGAAGGAGAGGAUGACGCCAGGUCAGCAUGACCCUUGAUAUCUUGGGCUACACACGUGAUACAAUGGGUGGGACAACGGGUCGCGACGGAGUAAUCCUGAGCCAAUCCUUCAAACCCAUCCUCAGUUCGGAUUGAGGGCUGAAACUCGCCCUCAUGAAGUCGGAAUCGCUAGUAAUCGUGGGUCAGCUAUACCACGGUGAAUACGUUCUCAAGUCUUGUACUCACCGCCCGUCAAGUCAAGGGAGCCGGGGGUGCCCGAAGUCUGUGCACUGCAUGGCCUAAGGUAAACUUGGUGACAGGGACU